GAUGAACGCUGGCGGCGUGCCUAAUACAUGCGAGUCGAGCGAACGGACGAGAAGCUUGCUUCUCUGAUGUUAGCGGCGGACGGGUUAGUAACACGUGGAUAGCCUACCUAUAAGACUGGGAUAACUUCGGGAAACCGUAGCUAAUACCGGAUAAUAUUUUGAACCGCAUGGUUCAAAAGUGAAAGACGGUCUUGCUGUCACUUAUAGAUGGAUCCGCGCUGCAUUAGCUAGUUGGUAAGGUAACGGCUUACCAAGGCAACGAUGCAUAGCCGACCUGAGAGGGUGAUCGGCCACACUGGAACUGAGACACGGUCCAGACUCCUACGGGAGGCAGCAGUAGGGAAUCUUCCGCAAUGGGCGAAAGCCUGACGGAGCAACGCCGCGUGAGUGAUGAAGGUCUUCGGAUCGUAAAACUCUGUUAUUAGGGAAGAACAUAUGUGUAAGUAACUGUGCACAUCUUGACGGUACCUAAUCAGAAAGCCACGGCUAACUACGUG
rnacentral:rRNA from 1 species